GAAAUGCGAUAAGUAAUGUGAAUUGCAGAAUUCAGUGAAUCAUUGAAUCUUUGAACGCACAUUGCGCCCCUUGGUAUUCCGAGGGGCAUGCCUGUUCGAGCGUCAUUACACCACUCAAGCUAUGCUUGGUAUUGGGUGCCGUCCUUAGUUGGGCGCGCCUUAAAGACCUCGGCGAGGCCUCACCGGCUUUAGGCGUAGUAGAAUUUAUUCGAACGUCUGUCAAAGGAGAGGACUUCUGCCGACUGAAACCUUUAUUUUUCUAGGUUGACCUCGGAUCAGGUAGGGAUACCCGCUGAACUUAAGC
rnacentral:misc_RNA from 1 species